rnacentral:tRNA from 2 species
GUGGCUGUAGUUCAGUUGGUUAGAACGCCGGAUUGUGAUUCCGGAGGUCGUGGGUUCAAGUCCCAUCAGCCACCCCA